CUUAGUGGCGAACGGGUGAGUAACGCGUGAGUAACCUGCCCUAGAGUGGGGGACAACAAGUUGGAAACGACUGCUAAUACCGCAUAAGCCCACGGUACCGCAUGGUACUGAGGGAAAAGGAUUUAUUCGCUUUAGGAUGGACUCGCGUCCAAUUAGCUAGUUGGUGAGGUAACGGCCCACCAAGGCGACGAUUGGUAGCCGGACUGAGAGGUUGAACGGCCACAUUGGGACUGAGACACGGCCCAGACUCCUACGGGAGGCAGCAGUGGGGGAUAUUGCACAAUGGGGGAAACCCUGAUGCAGCGACGCCGCGUGGAGGAAGAAGGUUUUCGGAUUGUAAACUCCUGUCGUUAGGGACGAUAAUGACGGUACCUAACAAGAAAGCACCGGCUAACUACGUGCCAGCAGCCGCGGUAAAACGUAGGGUGCAAGCGUUGUCCGGAAUUACUGGGUGUAAAGGGAGCGCAGGCGGGAAGACAAGUUGGAAGUGAAAACCAUGGGCUCAACCCAUGAAUUGCUUUCAAAACUGUUUUUCUUGAGUAGUGCAGAGGUAGAUGGAAUUCCCGGUGUAGCGGUGGAAUGCGUAGAUAUCGGGAGGAACACCAGUGGCG
rnacentral:rRNA from 1 species